UACGGGGGGGGCAAGCGUUGUUCGGAAUUACUGGGCGUAAAGCGCGUGUAGGCGGCUCUUCAAGUCGAGUGUGAAAGCUCCAGGCUUAACCUGGGAAUUGCGCUCGAUACUGUUGAGCUAGAGUGUGGAAGGGGCUACUGGAAUCCGUGUGUAGCGGUGAAAUGCGUAGAUAUAACGGAGGAACACCUGCGGCGAAGGCGGGUAGC
rnacentral:rRNA from 1 species